UGGGGAAUAUUGGACAAUGGGGGCAACCCUGAUCCAGCCAUGCCGCGUGUGUGAAGAAGGCCUUCGGGUUGUAAAGCACUUUCAGAUGUGAGGAAAGGUGUGUGGUUAAUACCCGCAUACUGUGACGUUAACAUCAGAAGAAGCACCGGCUAACUCCGUGCCAGCAGCCGCGGUAAUACGGAGGGUGCAAGCGUUAAUCGGAAUUACUGGGCGUAAAGCGCACGUAGGUGGUUUGGUCAGUCAGAUGUGAAAGCCCCGGGCUCAACCUGGGAACUGCACCUGAUACUGCCAGACUAGAGUACGGUAGAGGGUAGUGGAAUUUCCGGUGUAGCGGUGAAAUGCGUAGAGAUCGGAAGGAACACCAGUGGCGAAGGCGACUGCCUGGACCGAUACUGACACUGAGGUGCGAAAGCGUGGGUAGCAAACAGG
rnacentral:rRNA from 1 species